UGGGGAAUAUUGCACAAUGGGCGCAAGCCUGAUGCAGCCAUGCCGCGUGUGUGAAGAAGGCCUUCGGGUUGUAAAGCACUUUCAGCGGGGAGGAAGGCGAUAAGGUUAAUAACCUUGUCGAUUGACGUUACCCGCAGAAGAAGCACCGGCUAACUCCGUGCCAGCAGCCGCGGUAAUACGGAGGGUGCAAGCGUUAAUCGGAAUUACUGGGCGUAAAGCGCACGCAGGCGGUCUGUCAAGUCGGAUGUGAAAUCCCCGGGCUUAACCUGGGAACUGCAUUCGAAACUGGCAGGCUAGAGUCUUGUAGAGGGGGGUCGAAUUCCAGGUGUGGCGGUGAAAUGCGUAGAGAUCUGGAGAAAUACCGGUGGCGAAGGCGGCCCCCUGGACAAAGACUGACGCUCAGGUGCGAAAGCGUGGGGAGCAAACAGG
rnacentral:rRNA from 1 species